CUUGAUUUUUGUCGUAGCUUGCUAUGAUAAAAAUUAGUGGCAGACGGGUGAGUAAUGCAUAGGAAUCUACCUAGUAGUAUGGGAUAGCCACUAGAAAUGGUGGGAAUACUGAUAAUCCCUGCGGAA
rnacentral:rRNA from 1 species